rnacentral:rRNA from 1 species
AGAGUUUGAUCUUGGCUCAGGACGAACGCUGGCGGCGUGCCUAAUACAUGCAAGUCGAGCGAGCGGAACUAACAGAUUUACUUCGGUAAUGACGUUAGGAAAGCGAGCGGCGGAUGGGUGAGUAACACGUGGGGAACCUGCCCCAUAGUCUGGGAUACCACUUGGAAACAGGUGCUAAUACCGGAUAAGAAAGCAGAUCGCAUGAUCAGCUUUUAAAAGGCGGCGUAAGCUGUCGCUAUGGGAUGGCCCCGCGGUGCAUUAGCUAGUUGGUAAGGUAAAGGCUUACCAAGGCGAUGAUGCAUAGCCGAGUUGAGAGACUGAUCGGCCACAUUGGGACUGAGACACGGCCCAAACUCCUACGGGAGGCAGCAGUAGGGAAUCUUCCACAAUGGACGCAAGUCUGAUGGAGCAACGCCGCGUGAGUGAAGAAGGUUUUCGGAUCGUAAAGCUCUGUUGUUGGUGAAGAAGGAUAGAGGUAGUAACUGGCCUUUAUUUGACGGUAAUCAACCAGAAAGUCACGGCUAACUACGUGCCAGCAGCCGCGGUAAUACGUAGGUGGCAAGCGUUGUCCGGAUUUAUUGGGCGUAAAGCGAGCGCAGGCGGAAGAAUAAGUCUGAUGUGAAAGCCCUCGGCUUAACCGAGGAACUGCAUCGGAAACUGUUUUUCUUGAGUGCAGAAGAGGAGAGUGGAACUCCAUGUGUAGCGGUGGAAUGCGUAGAUAUAUGGAAGAACACCAGUGGCGAAGGCGGCUCUCUGGUCUGCAACUGACGCUGAGGCUCGAAAGCAUGGGUAGCGAACAGGAUUAGAUACCCUGGUAGUCC